CGGCUUAACGUGCCCUCCGAAGCACGGAAUCAUCUUACUUUUUCGGACAAUCAGGUGAUUCAAGCCUGAAAAGUCCUUACCAAACAAAGAACAGUCUCACAAAGUGAUUUCGACAAUGUCCCCAUCGGGAACCGAACCCGGACCUCCAGAUCGUGAGCGUAACGCUCUAACCACUAAACCACGGAGGCUGUCAAAAACUGACAAACUGAAUUAAAAUGGAUUUGCUGUCAAAAAUCAUCACCAUUAACUACCAUAGACUUACUUAGAUAUUUUACGAUGUUACAUAGACUUUUGACUUAUUAAGCUACUUUUACGAUGAUCUGAUGCAAAUGGCAAUUUCAGGAACGUUUUUUGGCCUCCAAAUCGGGCAGAAAGGCUAAUCGCGUUCGACGAUUAGCUCUGUUGUCGGCUUCGAGUGGUAACUUGACAUGCAAUUUGUCAUUGUCCUUAUCAAGUGAAAAUCUGCGGUUUAGUCCGAUCAUUUGGUAGACCUGGGAAGCUUACCGGAAGUUUUGAUAAUUGGUUGAUUUUGUAGAUUUGGACAUAUUCUUUCCAAAUCCAUACAGCUCGUAUUAUCGAAAUUUUAAGGUGCCAUUUGUUUAAAUGUGUGUGGACUGAUUGGUGAAAUAAUCAGUCCACAGACUGUAUUAAAAGAAACGCUGAUUGUUUUGCCACUUCGCAUAUAAUUCGGUUUUAGUAGAUAAUUACAAAGGUUACAAACACGUCCGACAAUAAGAGAAGAUCGAUGAAUACAAAAAUUAAUUUAAAAAUAGUAAAGAAUUAAUAUUUUUAUAACCUUUUUUUUUAAAAAGGUAUUUUUAUGUUGCAAUUGUCAACACCAUUUUUCAACAAUGGCGGCGUAAGUUGCAAAUAUACGUGCUGGAAAAGUAUUAAUUCUGAAAGAGCAGAACAAAAAUAUAAAAUUACUUAUAUCCAAUUCCAAAACUCCAGAAAACUUGCAAGCAAUCAGCUUAAUAACGACUAGACUACAAUAUUUUAGUGUAAAGCGAAUAAAUAAAUAAAUCAAUGAAUUAAUCCAAUUCUUGAACACUUAGUUUUCCUUUACAACUUUUAUUUGCAUGCUGAUUAUCAAAGCAGGAGAAUGAAUG